rnacentral:rRNA from 1 species
UACGGAGGGUGCAAGCGUUACUCGGAAUUACUGGGCGUAACGCGUGCGUAGGCGGUUCGUUCAGUCUGUUGUGAAAGCCCCGGGCUCAACCUGGGAAUGGCAAUGGAUACUGGCGAGCUAGAGUGUGUCAGAGGAUGGUGGAAUUCCCGGUGUAGCGGUGAAAUGCGUAGAGAUCGGGAGGAACAUCAGUGGCGAAGGCGGCCAUCUGGGACAACACUGACGCUGAGGCACGAAAGCGUGGGGAGCAAACAGG